GAUGAAGAACGCAGCGAAACGCGAUAAGUAAUGUGAAUUGCAGAAUCCAGUGAAUCAUCGAAUCUUUGAACGCACAUUGCGCCCGCCAGCAUUCUGGCGGGCAUGCCUGUUCGAGCGUCAUUUCAACCCUCGACCUCCCCUUGGGGAGGUCGGCGUUGGGGACCGGCAGCACACCGCCGGCCCUGAAAUGGAGUGGCGGCCCGUCCGCGGCGACCUCUGCGCAGUAAUACAGCUCGCACCGGGACCCCGACGCGGCCACGCCGUAAAACACCCAACUUCUGAACGUUGACCUCGAAUCAGGUAGGACUACCCGCUGUACUUAAGCAUAUCAAUAAGCGGAGGA
rnacentral:misc_RNA from 1 species